UAAGAAUUCUUAAGAAUUGUGACCAAGUAUAAAAAAAAUAUGACCUUUGGGUUUUUGAUACAUUAAAAUCAGAAAUUGUUUGGAAAGUAUUCAUCACUGAGGUAUCAGAUGAAACACGGACCAUACAUUUUUCAUCAUAUAUAAAAGUUAUUAUUUUUUUAUUUUCAUAAAAAAAUUCAAUAAACUUUAAAUAUAAGUACUACAGUUGUAAUAAAUAUUAAUUUGAAGUAUAUCAGAUAUAAUUUAGGUUUGAGUUCAUCACUGAGGUAUCAGAUGAAACACGGACCAUACGUUUUUCAUCAUAUAUUUAAGAUAUUUUUUUUUCAUAAAAAAAUUCAAUGAACUUUAAAUAUAGGUACUAAAGUUGUAAUAAAUAUUAAUUUGAAGUAUAUCAGAUAUAAUUUAGGUUUGAGUUCAUCACUGAGGUAUCAGAUGAAACACGGACCAUACGUUUUUCAUCAUAUAUUUAAGAUAUUUUUUUUUCAUAAAAAAAUUCAAUGAACUUUAAAUAUAGGUACUAAAGUUGUAAUAAAUAUUAAUUUGAAGUAUAUCAGAUAUAAUUUAGGUUUGAGUUCAUCACUGAGAUAUCAGAUGAAACACGGACCAUACAUUAUUCAUCAUAUUUAAAAGAUAUUUUUUUUUUCAUAAAAAAAUUCAAUAAACUUAAUAUUAAUGAUAGGAACAAUCGAGAAAAAUUACUCGAAAUACUUGAUUGUUAGAUUUAAUCAAUUAUUUCGAUUGUUUUGAAAACUCGAGUGAUUCUCUCGGUAUCAAAAUCAACUGAAAUAGCCAAAUGAUAAAAAUUACUUGGGGCAAGGUGCG